AACAUUUUCACCUGGCCUCUGGCAGGCCUGUAUUUACAUGAGGAAGAGGCCACAAUAAAAGCAGCAUGGCUGGGGGCCCUAGAGGAAGACAGCCUUGCCUCCCAGUCAUUGGAGGUAGUGCCUGGCCCUUUUUUUUUAUAUAGGUUAUGGGGGAGGUGAUGGGACUGCCUGUGGGGAGAAGGGAGACUUGAUUCUCUUCUCUGAAGAACAGACCAGGCUAUUGAAGAGGUCUUUGUUCCUUAACUUAUUGCUGAAGCUGCAUACGCUCACGUGCCUUGCUCUGACUGAAAGCAGAGGUUGGAUGGCUCAUCUGAACAAGGGGUAACAAGCAGCUGGAAAUGCAAUAAAACCAUGCCAUUUCCUAAACUGAACUUUUGGAAAAAAUCAUAUUGGUUCUACCUGGACCUUAUUAGCCUUAUGAUCAGAAGGACUUUUUUUCACUAUCUUGUGUUCUGGGAGAGAAAGUGACUUUACUGGAUUAAGCUGGGCUAGACUGACAGAGUGUUCUCCAAGCACAAAGCUAGCAGCAGUCUGUGCCAACAGAGGAACAGAAAAUGUGUUCAUCCUUAGUGAGGUUCUCCAUAAGCACUUUCACAUGCACAGAAAGAUUUUUAUUUAAGGCUGCCCUGACCAGGUCUGCCAUGCUUAAUAAAACAUCAGCUGAGCUUCUUGCUUCCAAGCAUGUGAAGUCAGGAGGAAAGAGGCAUAUACAACUGAAAAUCCUGGCUGUCAGUGAGGAUUUAGCAACGUGCAGCUGAGAGGUGGCUCCUGUUCUCAUUGAAGAGUACCUCAGUUACUGGAAGGUACCUUCUGGAUGGAGCCUUGCAAUGGCCUUGCUGUGCAUACCAGGGCAUCCUGUCAAACACCUGGAAACUUUAUAGUAAUGCCCAGUGAGGAUGUUGCCUCGCCUCUUUUGUCUUUACCACUGCCCUGGUGGUGAUAUAACAAAGAUGCUGAUUCUUUUUCUUUGUGGGUGCUUGUGAUGCACUCUCAGGAUGAAAAGAGCACAACACACUGCUUCAAAUGCUACAAGGGAGCUGCACCAACUCUAAAAUACAGAAAACUGAUUACAGCUCAUUCAAACUGUCUGUGGGAAGAAAAGCAAACAACACUGUUAAAAGCAUGACUAUUUUUCCAAUGAAAGAGAACUGGGGGAGUGCUGUGAUGAAUUUCUUGAGGAAGAGGCAGGUAUAACCAAACCUGGUAAAACUGCUCUGGUGGUGUUUGCAGAUGUGCCUCAUGAACUUUGUGUGAUGAACACGGAGAGCCUGUCCUGUCUUCAGUCUACCAUAACUACAGAUCAUCAGAGCAGAAUAUCUGUUGAUGCUGAAGACAAUUCUGAUAAGGUACUGAUAAGGUAAAGAUGCCUCAACCACAAUGACACGUAAAUAUCACAUAUAACCUGGCUAAAGCUUUUAGGUGAAGCUGGCAUCUCUGAAACAAAGACCUACCAAUUCUGUCAGGGUGUGAACUUGUGCUGCAGCUUGUGUGAACUAGGAAAUGCAGACCGUCCUUUCUUGUACAGCACCACAGGAAAGUGGUACAAGAUCAAAUUCUCAGGUUACAUAAAUGAGGUCUAUGCUGUCAAUGGGAAGAACUUUUCCUCUUAAAAACAAACAAACAAAAAAAAACAACCAAUGGACUUGAGUGGGGAUCUCCAACUUAUGUCUCCCAGCUUGCACCAACGCAACUUUAAAAUCAGCUAGAUGUAAGUUUUGCUUUUGGAUCUCUACAGAGUAUGCUUCUACUACUGGCUUCUGGGCUGCCCUGUUCCCUCCUUGGUGCACAGUGUCUCCUCCUAACCCACCAGUUUAGUGAUUCAUCUUCCUCGUCAGCUGCAGGAAACCCAACAAGCCAAAAUCAGAGGGAGCACACAGAGGGAAGAGACUUCUAAAGCCAGCUGAAGCUGCCACCUUGUCGUUCCUGUCAAUACCGCAAUAAAUAAGCAUUUUAAGAGAACAGUCAGUUAAAGAUUGACUGACCU